rnacentral:rRNA from 1 species
GACGUAGGGCGCGAGCGUUGUCCGGAUUUAUUGGGCGUAAAGAGCUCGUAGGCGGUUUGUCGCGUCGUCUGUGAAAACCCACGGCUCAACUGUGGGCUUGCAGUCGAUACGGGCAGGCUAGAGUUCGGUAGGGGAGACUGGAAUUCCUGGUGUAGCGGUGAAAUGCGCAGAUAUCAGGAGGAACACCGGUGGCGAAGGCGGGUCUCUGGGCCGAUACUGACGCUGAGGAGCGAAAGCGUGGGGAGCGAUCCGG